rnacentral:rRNA from 1 species
UUUUAUAAUAAUAAUUUUAAAAAAGCACACCCGCUCUCAUCUGAUCUCGGAAGCAAAGCUGGCUCGGGCCUGGUUAGUACUUGGAUGGGAGACUGCUGGGAAUAUCAGGUGCUGUAAGCU